GAUGAACGCUGGCGGCGUGCUUAACACAUGCAAGUCGAACGAGAAUCAACGGAUUGAGGAUUCGUCCAAAUGAAGUUGAGGAAAGUGGCGGACGGGUGAGUAACGCGUGAGGAACCUGCCUCGGAGUGGGGAAUAACAGUUAGAAAUGACUGCUAAUACCGCAUAAGACCACAGCACCGCAUGGUGCAGGGGUAAAAACUCCGGUGGUAUGAGAUGGAUCCGCGUCUGAUUAGCUAGUUGGUAAGGUAACGGCUUACCAAGGCAACGAUCAGUAGCCGACCUGAGAGGGUGACCGGCCACAUUGGGACUGAGACACGGCCCAA
rnacentral:rRNA from 1 species